rnacentral:rRNA from 1 species
UACGAAGGGGGCUAGCGUUGCUCGGAAUCACUGGGCGUAAAGCGCACGUAGGCGGCUUUCUAAGUCAGGGGUGAAAUCCUGGAGCUCAACUCCAGAACUGCCUUUGAUACUGGAGAGCUUGAGUCCGGGAGAGGUGAGUGGAACUCCGAGCGUAGAGGUGAAAUUCGUAGAUAUUCGGAAGAACACCAGUGGCGAAGGCGGCUCACUGGCCCGGUACUGACGCUGAUGUGCGAAAGCGUGGGGAGCAAACAGGG